CUCACCUUGCGCAUUGCCAAGAGUAUGAUCGCUACUUGGACCAGUGCUGAAACUUGACGUUGAACCACUUCCCAGCUGCCAAUCAAAAGUGUCCGUUCCAUCCUGGACCUCCAGCCACGUACAACGUCCUUUCUCAAAAGUACAAUCACCUGGACGAGGACACGCACCAUCCUGUAAACUGACGUCAUCGACAGCAAUAUCCCCGAAGGGCCCACUGCCCCGGACUCCUUCGAAUGAAACUCUUGUUCCUCUGAAGAAACUCAGUUGUAUAGGUACCUG